UACGUAGGGGGCUAGCGUUGUCCGGAAUCAUUGGGCGUAAAGAGCGUGUAGGCGGCCCGGUAAGUCCGCUGUGAAAGUCGGGGGCUCAACCCUCGAAUGCCGGUGGAUACUGUCGGGCUAGAGUGCGGAAGAGGCGAGUGGAAUUCCUGGUGUAGCGGUGAAAUGCGCAGAUAUCAGGAGGAACACCAAUUGCGAAGGCAGCUCGCUGGGACGUAACUGACGCUGGAGACGCGAAAGCGUGGGGAGCGAACAGG
rnacentral:rRNA from 1 species